AUUUAUUUUAGUAUUACAUGAUUUUUCAAUAAAACCAAACUCAAAGUAUUAGUCUAUAAUAGUCGUGGAUUUAUAAAUUAUUUGAGUAGGUUAUUCUCAUAAAUUGAUAUUUAUAUAAUCAAUCAUCGAGGGUGAAGAAUACGUAAGGAGAUCCAUCAUCAUAUUCUUAGGUUUCUAGAAUCCAACACUUCCCUCUCUUAAAUUGGUUUAAGACGAACGUUGUUUAUGAAUUAUUUGUAUGAUGCACUUUUGAGAAUGUUAUUAGA
rnacentral:sRNA from 1 species